rnacentral:rRNA from 1 species
UACGAAGGGGGCUAGCGUUGUUCGGAAUUACUGGGCGUAAAGCGUGCGCAGGCGGCCAUCCAAGUCAGUGGUGAAAGCCCGGAGCUCAACUCCGGAAUUGCCAUUGAAACUGUUUGGCUCGAGUACGAGAGAGGUGAGUGGAAUUCCCAGUGUAGAGGUGAAAUUCGUGGAUAUUGGGAAGAACACCGGUGGCGAAGGCGGCUCACUGGCUCGUAACUGACGCUCAUGCACGACAGCGUGGGGAUCAAACAGG